rnacentral:rRNA from 1 species
AGAGUUUGAUCAUGGCUCAGGACGAACGCUGGCGGCGUGCCUAACACAUGCAAGUCGAGCGAUCUUCUUCGGAAGAGAGCGGCGGACGGGUGAGUAACGCGUGGGUAACCUGCCUCAUACACAUGGAUAACAUACCGAAAGGUAUGCUAAUACAAGAUGAUAUAAGAGAUUCGCAUGGAUUUCUUAUCAAAGCUCCGGCGGUAUGAGAUGGACCCGCGUCUGAUUAGCUAGUUGGUAAGGUAACGGCUUACCAAGGCGACGAUCAGUAGCCGACCUGAGAGGGUGAUCGGCCACAUUGGAACUGAGACACGGUCCAAACUCCUACGGGAGGCAGCAGUGGGGAAUAUUGCACAAUGGGCGAAAGCCUGAUGCAGCAACGCCGCGUGAGCGAUGAAGGCCUUCGGGUCGUAAAGCUCUGUCCUCAAGGAAGAUAAUGACGGUACUUGAGGAGGAAGCCCCGGCUAACUACGUGCCAGCAGCCGCGGUAAUACGUAGGGGGCUAGCGUUAUCCGGAUUUACUGGGCGUAAAGGGUGCGUAGGUGGUUUCUUAAGUCAGGAGUGAAAGGCUACGGCUCAACCGUAGUAAGCUCUUGAAACUGGGAAACUUGAGUGCAGGAGAGGAAAGUGGAAUUCCUAGUGUAGCGGUGAAAUGCGUAGAUAUUAGGAGGAACACCAGUAGCGAAGGCGGCUUUCUGGACUGUAACUGACACUGAGGCACGAAAGCGUGGGGAGCAAACAGGAUUAGAUACCCUGGUAGUCCACGCCGUAAACGAUGAGUACUAGGUGUCGGGGGUUACCCCCCUCGGUGCCGCAGCUAACGCAUUAAGUACUCCGCCUGGGGAGUACGCUCGCAAGAGUGAAACUCAAAGGAAUUGACGG